AUGAAGGGGAUCAAACAAAUAAAGGANNNNNNNNNNCAAACAAAUGAAAGAGACCAAACAAAUGAAAGAGACCAAACAAAUGAGGGGGACGAAAUUAAAGCGGACAAAAACACAUUUAUUAAUAACCUUUUAAUAUAUUUAAAUAGCUUAAUUAUUCUUUAUUUUUCCAAAACUAACUUAAUGGACGUAUGUAUAAAUCGGAGAGGCUAUAACAAAUGUGGUUUUUAUGCAUGCGAUAAUACAUUUCUAAAUAAUAUAAAUAAAAGUAAAUACAAAAUUGAUGUAGUAACUAAAAAUGUUUAUUUAAGGGAAUAUUUUGAUUUAUUCUGUUCUACUAAAUGUAUGAACUUAAAUUUAUAUUUAAUAAAAAAAAUAACAAAAAACUUAAAAGAGUCGAAAGAGCCUCCUAAUUUAAAAAAAAAAUGUUUACUUAUACAUAUUAUGUUUUUAACUUUUUUCCCUUGUUUUAAUUUUCAUGAUAUUAAUUUUAUUUUUCAAAACAUUGAUCAUAUAACAAUUAAAAAUAAUAAAAUUAUUAUUAACCCUGAAAUAAAUCGAAAAAAUGAAAAAAAUCAAAACGUAAAUAUAAACAAAAAUACAAAUAAAAAUACAAACAAAAAUACAAACAUAAAUACAAACAUAAAUACAAACAUAAAUACAGACAAAAAUAUAGACAAAAAUACAAACAUAAAUAUAGACAAAAAUAUAAGUAAUGAUUCGAGUAUAUAUGAUUACCAGAACCUUAUUAUGGACAAAACUGAUUUCGUUGAAGGUCAGCAGGGGGGGGACCACCAAACAAACGAACAGACGAACGAACAGACGAACGAACAGACGAACGAACAGACGAACGAACAGACGAACGAACAGACGAACGAACAGACGAACGAACAGACAAACGAACAGACAAACGAACAAACGAACGAACAGACGAACGAACAGACAAAUAAAAGUAAUGACCUAAAAAACUAACGAAUCUAUACAAAACAACAAGCACAUAGACAACCUACAAAAAUUAAAUAUUAUGUCUCAAAACAAUACUACUUAUAAAAUUAUAGAUGAAGAAAAAAAUCAUAAAAUAAAAAAAAAAGUAAGUUUUAACA
rnacentral:lncRNA from 1 species